rnacentral:rRNA from 1 species
UACGUAGGGGGCAAGCGUUGUCCGGAUUUAUUGGGCGUAAAGAGCGUGUAGGCGGCCAUUCAGGUCAGCUGUGAAAACUCGAGGCUCAACCUCGAGACGUCGGUUGAAACCGUUUGGCUAGAGUCCGGAAGAGGAGAGUGGAAUUCCCGGUGUAGCGGUGAAAUGCGCAGAUAUCGGGAAGAACACCCGUGGCGAAGGCGGCUCUCUGGGACGGUACUGACGCUGAGGCACGAAAGCGUGGGGAGCAAACAGG